rnacentral:rRNA from 1 species
CCCUUAGAUGUUCUGGGCCGCACGCGCGCUACACUGUUUGAUUCAGCGAGUCUUAACCUUGACCGAAAGGUUUGGGUAAUCUUCUAAAGUCAAACGUGAUGGGGAUCGAUCAUUGCAAUUAUUGAUCGUGAACGAGGAAUUCCUAGUAAAUGCAAGUCAUCAGCUUGCGUUGAUUACGUCCCUGCCCUUUGUACACACCGCCCGUCGCUACUACCGAUUGAAUGUUCCGGUGAACACUUUGGAAUAGUGCCUUUGUAUGGGGAAACUUGUACUUGGAUACUGUAAAGUUGUGUAAACCUUAACAUUUAGAGGAAGGAGAAGUCGUAACA